rnacentral:misc_RNA from 1 species
CCAAUAGCGUAUAUUAAAGUUGUUGCAGUUAAAAAGCUCGUAGUUGAAUUUCGGGCUUGACGUGAUGGUCAUGCCUUAAGGGGUAUGAACUGUUACUGUUGAUUUCUCACCUUCUUGAGCAACUUGAUGUCCUUUAUUUUGUGUCUUGCGGAUCCAGGACCUUUACCUUGCAAAAAUUAGAGUGUUUAAAGCAGGCAUUUUUGCUCGAAUACAUUAGCAUGGAAUAAUAGAAUAGGACGGCAUGGUUCUAUUUUGUUGGUUUCUAGGAUCACCGUAAUGAUUAAUAGGGAUAGUUGGGGGCAUUAGUAUUCAAUUGUCAGAGGGGAAAUUCUUGGAUUUAUUGAAGACUAACUACUGCGAAAGCAUUUGCCAAGGAUGUUUUCAUUAAUCAAGAACGAAAGUUAGGGGAUCGAAGACGAUCAGAUACCGUCGUAGUCUUAACCAUAAACUAUGCCGACUAGGAAUCAGACGAUGUUAAUUUUUUAAUGACUCGUUUGGCACCUUACG